rnacentral:rRNA from 1 species
UACGUAGGGCGCAAGCGUUAUCCGGAAUUAUUGGGCGUAAAGAGCUCGUAGGCGGUUCGUCGCGUCGGCUGUGAAAUCCCGAGGCUCAACCUCGGGUCUGCAGUCGAUACGGGCGGACUGGAGUUCGGCAGGGGAGACUGGAAUUCCUGGUGUAGCGGUGAAAUGCGCAGAUAUCAGGAGGAACACCGGUGGCGAAGGCGGGUCUCUGGGCCGAUGACUGACGCUGAGGAGCGAAAGCGUGGGGAGCAAACAGG